rnacentral:rRNA from 1 species
GUAGGUGGCAAGCGUUGUCCGGAAUUAUUGGGCGUAAAGCGCGCGCAGGUGGUUCUUUAAGUCUGAUGUGAAAGCCCCCGGGCUCAACCGGGGAGGGUCAUUGGAAACUGGGGAACUUGAGUGCAGGAGAGGAAAGUGGAAUUCCACGUGUAGCGGUGAAAUGCGUAGAUAUGUGGAGGAACACCAGUGGCGAAGGCGGCUUUCUGGCCUGUAACUGACACUGAGGCGCGAAAGCGUGGGGAGCAAACAGGAUUAGAUACCCUGGUAGUCCACGCCGUAAACGAUGAGUGCUAAGUGUUGGGGGGUUUCCGCCCCUCAGUGCUGCAGCUAACGCAUUAAGCACUCCGCCUGGGGAGUACGGUCGCAAAGACUG